rnacentral:rRNA from 1 species
AGCGGCGGACGGGUGAGUAAUGCUUAGGAAUCUGCCUAUUAGUGGGGGACAACAUCUCGAAAGGGAUGCUAAUACCGCAUACGUCCUACGGGAGAAAGCAGGGGACCUUCGGGCCUUGCGCUAAUAGAUGAGCCUAAGUCGGAUUAGCUAGUUGGUGGGGUAAAGGCCUACCAAGGCGACGAUCUGUAGCGGGUCUGAGAGGAUGAUCCGCCACACUGGGACUGAGACACGGCCCAGACUCC